rnacentral:rRNA from 1 species
AAUCAACGCUGGCGGCGUGCCUCAGACAUGCAAGUCGAACGCGAAAGUUCCCUUCGGGGGACAAGUAGAGUGGCGCACGGGUGAGUAACACGUAGGUAAUCUACCUUUGGAUGGGGAAUAACAAUCGGAAACGGUUGCUAAUACCGCAUAAUGCAGCGGCACCUAAUGGUGACAGUUGUUAAAGCGGGGAUCGAAAGACCUCGCGUCUGAAGAGGAGCCUGCGGCGGAUAGUCUAGUUGGUAAGGUAACGGCUUACCAAGGCGACGAUCCGUAGCCGGCCUGAGAGGGCGGUCGGCCACACUGACACUGACAUACGGGUCAGACUCCUACGGGAGGCAGCAGUCGGGAA